rnacentral:tRNA from 1 species
GAGAAAUUGAUUAAGUAAAAUAGUAUUCCGCUGAAAAGAGCAUCCCGAUUUUUAAUCGGGACGGUCGAAGGUUCGAAUCCUUCUUCCUUCA